CCUCACCGAUGACCCAAAUGUAUGGGCUAAAGUAGUGGAGGAGCUCUUGGAUAUAAUUAAUAUACGGGAGGUGUUACAACCCACUCCUAUUUAAUUUAAACAAUUAAUAAUAACUACUUAAUCUAAUCAUAAAUAAUAAUCAUAAGAAUAACAAGAAAAACCAGAGUAUUGAUCGGAACCUUUCGAAAAAUUAAUCCGAAAUCUGGAACUAAGGAGGACAAUAGGUGAUUCCCUACUACCCCAUAUUCAAGAGGAAUCGAACUACUUUGACUCACUCAGUCACCACUCUAAUACGACACGAUCAUUAAAAAGGCAGGCGACACACGGGCGUGAUAGGACUAGAGCCAAACAAACCCAUACAAAAAAAUUGGAGACGAGGGAUAAUACAGCCUAAACACCACCACAUUUACAGAAAUUAUCAGGGACAUACCCCUUGUGGGGAUUGACAAUGCUGGAGACUGGACCAACUGCACUCUUUCAAAAGAUGGGGGUAUAGCACUUGAAGAAAUCAAAACCGCUACCCGAUUUUACGGCUGAUCGGCGGAUCCGCUGUAAUCGAUGACGUCGACGUAUAUAUAGGGAGAAGUAUAGUGGACGAACUUCUAUAAACUCAAUCCACUCCUAUCAAUAAGUGAAGAACGAUCACGAUCAUCUGCUACAAGAGAUAAUUAAUAAGGGGGACAAAAGUAUUUGAGAGUGUGAGACUUUCCCAAAAUAAAACAACAAAUAUCUUCACAGGCAAACAAUUACACAAAAUCGCAGGUAUUUCGACCAUCUCUACCUUUCUUGAAAGCAUCCUUCACGUCAUACUUGACAAGGGGGUGGAGGGGGGAGGAAUGCAGAGCCGAAGCGACCCCGAGAUGGAAGGAGUGGAACCUGCGUCAAAAUCCAAGGCCGAAUGAUCACACCAUACACAUACGAUUAUUUUAUUAAUUUAUUUCAAAAAGCUCAGCACAUUUUUCAAAGUCUAAAUUUAAUAUUUCUGUCUUAAUUAUUAUUCUAUACGUACCGUGACAGUUAUCCAUUACAUACGUUACGAAAUUUUAUAGUUGCUUAUUCACAACCUGUAUACCUUCAUAAUAAUCGACGCUCGGAUCCUUUCUGCUACAUAAAAAUUGGCAAGGUGUUAGUUCGUCAGCGGGUAGUUACAGAUCCCAUUGUUCAAAAGUUGCAAAAUGGCGCCUCAGCUUCGUAGUUGAGCAAAAUGACAUGCUUUGAGAUAAUAUAAGCAAUAUCUUAGCGAGAACGUGGAGUCAGUGAACGACAGGGCUGUCAUAAUGUCCUGAUACUUCACCGGCUCUCUUGAUAUACGCGAACCAUGCGGGGUCCAACUGUUCGGUGAUGAACUGCCACCAUAUGCCUAAAAAUCACACUAUAAAAUUCAGCUACUCUUUUUCGAAAAAGAUCUAGAGAGAGAAAAAAAGUUAGGCAUAUUACGCCUCUGUUAUAGAGAACAAGGUAAAACUUUAUUUUCCUCAAAAUAUCAAGCAAUGUUUGAGAAUAACAUGUAUUUCUCAGUCUCAAUUAUCUGUCUUGUACUGAUACACACUGAAACUGCUUCAAAGUCGAGAAAUUACGUUUUUUUGGAUCACACGUAUUUAGCUUAUUAUUAUUUUCGUCCUUCAGCUUUCUGGCUAAAGGAGUGUAGAACAAAGCAAAGAAACCGGUGGGUGAACGUCUUUUCGGUCAACAAAAACUCAUCGUCCGGAGGUUCAUGACGUAUGGCACACAUGAGAACAGUAAGCUUAUAGAGUCGCGGUAGCGACUCUGAGACAAUACAUUUCGUAAUAACAUCGACGCCGUACUUCGAGCUAAGCUCGUACGGACUGUUUCAAGUGUUCGCCCAUGAUCCACGGUUGUCCUAUCUGCGGACUUAAUUUUUGAAAAGUCGUCGCGGUGCCCAGACUUUAUAUAUUAGUUGAACUCGGAAAACACUACAAUAUGAAAUACCACGAGUAUAUUUGGGUAUACGACUCGGGUGACUGUGGUGACCGCCAAGCUCGCUCUUUUCAAAUAAUGAUAAUCAGCGAAAUCAAUUAAUUUGAAGAAAGAGCAAUGAGAGUCAACUUGGGCACCGUGCAGUUAUGGCACUACUUUACCGUUUGUCUGAAAUCGUAAUCCCCCCGGUGAACCCAAGCUUUGUUCAUGCAAAUCGAUGUGCAUCCAAAAAGAAACAUUUUCAACCCAAUGUUGAAGCUCGCGUUGGAAAAGUACGCUUAAAUUCCUUUUUCUCUAAAACUGGCUGUCAAGCAAUGUACGUUGAGUGUUUCGUUACUAUAUUCGAACGUUUUAUUCGAACCUAAAUCGAAGCAAUUUCAACUAUUCUGUCUGUAGACUGGAUAAAUUGGAAAUAAUAUUUUUUCGUUUUAAUGAUAUUUUUGAUUUUGUUCGUCUCUUGAUUCUAAUUUAUUGUCAAUAAAUCCUGAGUGCUUAAAUUGCAAGAAUUUGAGUUUAUUGGUUAACAGAGAAUUUACUCUUGUUAUUUUUGUUAACUGAAAACUGUUUCAAACGUAAGACAAACAAAUGUAUCAUGUCGGGCAAGAUUUUCUGUCACGGUACAUAUAUUUUUAAUCCUGAUAAACACAAUAUGUUCGUUACCAUAUUAAUCUCAGGGUUUUCAUUUAAUAUGGAAGAGUGUGCAUAAGAGCGAGCUGACAUACUAAAAUUCUAUCUGCGGUAAAAAAAAACUUGAAAAAUUCUUUCCCUACGAUUUUGAGUGAAUUACAAAAUUUUCAAAAUAUUUGAGAACUCAAUUCUUUCCCAUUCCUUCUGUUAAAGGAAUAACUUAUUAAGUUUAAGUGUAUCCAAAGUAUUAAUUAUUUGUUUUUCUUUUUCCGCUGCUCGAAAUACACCAUGAUGAGGUUUGUGGAACAACCAUUAUAAUGGGGUUUGCUGCGGAUUGCAUCUCCAAGGGGAAGAAGAGAUUCAUCGUCUGGCCAAAUCUGUACAACUACAAAGCAUAUGAGAUGACAUGAUACUCGAAAAGGAAGAAGGCUGAAGUUUUUGCACAAAAAUUGGUGGUUUUCUUAACUUUUCCUGUUCUGAACGAGUUUGUUGGAAAAAAAACUCGAAAUUGUUUUCAACCUCUUUUUGAGUUGCACUGAAUCGCCUCAACGAGUGAUGAAAUCUCUGUGAAGUACCACAUUCCUGAGACGAAAGAAAUUUAUCUUCUUCCAACAAUGUGUCAACUUUUCAACCGGCAUGAGAUCACGAUGUUAAAAAAAAUGGCAACAGCUCCUCUGACAAAAUGCAACGAGCAGUAUUUUCUAUGAGCAAUAAAGAAUAUAAGUGUGGAUAAGCAAAGGGGAUAAUGAAAAAAAAAAUAACAAUUGUGAUCCAUAACGAGCUACAUUAAUCAAAACAUUUAUCACAAAAUUUGUCCGUAGUGGCGUACAGUGUACUUAUGUUAAUUUCAUACACAAAGCAUCUCUGCUGCAGAAUUGAAUGAAUUGAAAAACAUGAAUUGCAAUUAACCCAAAAAUCAUACAUAUUAUAUGCAUUAUUAUUAAAUUAAAUUAUAUCACUGAACACUUUUGUAUUGA